CGUUUCGCUGUUUACUCCUCUCACCCAUCUCCUUCUUUGACCCACACACGAACAAGCUAGGGUUGGAGCCGCCGCCCCUCCGGCCUGCCCGCCGGAGCUCCGUCCGCCACUCUUCUCCAUCUUCUCCCCCACCUCUACUCCCCCAGGCCCAACUAUGGUGGAUGACAUGCCCGCCGGCGCUCCAUACUCCCCUCUUCUCCAUCUUGCCCCUCGCCAUCUCCCUCCUCACUCCCUGUUCCGCCCCCACCCCUACUGCUGCAGGCUCAACCAUGGUGGUCAACAUGGGGAUGUGAGCGUGCACAGGCAGCGUUGGUGGACAAGAGAUGCGUAGAGGAUCUCAAGUGCUGCAGACGCUGGCGAGAUAUUCCAAAAUAAAGGAGGCGGCUAGAGGAAGCAUUGGAGGCCAAGUUCAGCAGCAACGGUCAGUUGUCGUCCGUGGCCGGAUGACGACAUCUGUAAAGGAAUGAGGGUGGUCGGAGACCGACAACAGGGGGCUACUAAACUAGGCAAGCUACCAUCACUCCAUUAUCCCCGGAGAUCGUUUGGUGAUGUCUGUUGCAUCACAUUAUGGACUGGAGGCGCGGACUGCCCCGCGCAAGUAGGUUAUGUGCUUGAGAUGACUGAAUGUCCGAUAAUACCAUAAACCUUCAGCGAGCAGUGGCUCCAAACUCCAUCCCCUGAUCUCAAGAUAGCUCUAUUAAAUCUCUUGAUGGUAUAACAGGGCAUUGGCAGGAAUUCUUGAUGAUUGAGGAAAUUAUGGCAGGCAUUCUUGAUGGUAUAUUAAAUCUUGGUUUGAUGGGUACUUUUGUGAAGAAACUAUUGAGUCCCAGGCCUGAUGAGUAUUACACGGCAUGAGAAAUUCAAGAAUUGAAUGAGAAGAGUGAAGACGACUAGCAGGUUGGGUUCUCUAAGGAAUGCCCAUACGAACUCGCUAUGGCGAGGAUGACUCAAUGAAUGGACAUGUCGAUCAUGCUCAGCCAGUUGCGCAGUUAGAAGUUGGAAUCGAACCCGAAAAGUUUGUGGAGUCCGUGCUGACAACCCUACCACCUGGGAGGUAGGAACUACCUUUUCUCCCUAUUUUGAUAUGCAAGAUUGAAUAUUAAGGCAUUAUUUGAAAUCUAUUUACCGAGGCAGAGACAUGAGAAGAACUAUUUUUUCUCCUGUUGCAACACACUGGCCGAAGGUUACAAGUGUGCAAACCCGUAUUGUUGUUUAUAAAGAUGGAAUUUAUUAGUCGUUUUUGGCUAUCGAAUUGGUGAUGCAAUCCGUCCCCACAUCUGUGUCUUCACCACUUCGUCCUCCCGCACAAUCAGCAGAACAGAGCAGCUGCAGCGAUUUGGCCAUUCAUCUCUUCGAGUGAUUCAAACCUAGGAAGCCUGCUACUUGCACAAG